AAAUUGAAGAGUUUGAUCAUGGCUCAGAUUGAACGCUGGCGGCAGGCCUAACACAUGCAAGUCGAACGGUAACAGGAAGCAGCUUGCUGCUUUGCUGACGAGUGGCGGACGGGUGAGUAAUGUCUGGGAAACUGCCUGAUGGAGGGGGAUAACUACUGGAAACGGUAGCUAAUACCGCAUAAUGUCGCAAGACCAAAGAGGGGGACCUUCGGGCCUCUUGCCAUCGGAUGUGCCCAGAUGGGAUUAGCUAGUAGGUGGGGUAACGGCUCACCUAGGCGACGAUCCCUAGCUGGUCUGAGAGGAUGACCAGCCACACUGGAACUGAGACACGGUCCAGACUCCUACGGGAGGCAGCAGUGGGGAAUAUUGCACAAUGGGCGCAAGCCUGAUGCAGCCAUGCCGCGUGUAUGAAGAAGGCCUUCGGGUUGUAAAGUACUUUCAGCGGGGAGGAAGGUGUUGAGGUUAAUAACCUCAGCAAUUGACGUUACCCGCAGAAG
rnacentral:rRNA from 1 species